rnacentral:rRNA from 1 species
UACGGGGGGGGCAGGCGUUGUUCGGAAUUACUGGGCGUAAAGGGCUCGUAGGCGGCCAACUAAGUCGGAUGUGAAAUCCCCAGGCUUAACCUGGGAACUGCAUCCGAUACUGGAUGGCUUGAAUCCGGGAGAGGGAUGCAGAAUUCCAGGUGUAGCGGUGAAAUGCGUAGAUAUCUGGAGGAAUACCGGUGGCGAAGGCGGCAUCCUGGACCGGCAUUGACGCUGAUGAGCGAAAGCCAGGGGAGCAAACGGG